rnacentral:sRNA from 1 species
UCGCUUCACUAAUUGCCUCACCAAGCCGC